CCUACGGGAGGCAGCAGUGGGGAAUAUUGCACAAUGGGGGAAACCCUGAUGCAGCAACGCCGCGUGAGUGAUGACGGUCUUCGGGUUGUAAAGCUCUGUCUUCAGGGACGAUAAUGACGGUACCUGAGGAGGAAGCCACGGCUAACUACGUGCCAGCAGCCGCGGUAAUACGUAGGUGGCCAGCGUUGUCCGGAUUUACUGGGCGUAAAGGGAGUGUAGGCGGACUUUUAAGUGAGAUGUGAAAUCCCCGGGCUCAACUUGGGUACUGCAAUUCAAACUAGAAGUCUAGAAUGAAGGAGAGGAGAAUGGAAUUCCUAGUGUAGAGGUGAAAUGCGUAGAGAUUAGGAAGAACACCAGUGGCGAAGGCGAUUCUCUGGA
rnacentral:rRNA from 1 species